rnacentral:rRNA from 1 species
UGUAAGCGUAUACCAAAGGUGUUGCAGUUAAAACGCUCGUAGUCGGAAUUUGGCAGUUCCGGAUGUGUGCACGUCGUGUGCGCACUUCGCGGGGAUUGCUUUUGUGGUCUUGCGUAGGAUGAGGCACUUUUAUUAGUGAACGUCCUCACGCAACCACUUUUUACUGUGAGAAAAUCAGAGUGCUCAAAGCAGGCAUUUGCCGUGAAUGUAUUAGCAUGGAAUAAUAGAAUAGGACUUGGUUCUAUUUUGUUGGUUUGUUGGGACUGAGUAAUGAUUAAGAGGGACAGUUGGGGGCAUUUGUAUUUCGGUGCUAGAGGUGAAAUUCUUAGAUUACCGAAAGACAAACUGCUGCGAAAGCGUCUGCCAAGGAUGUUUUCAUUGA